GUGUAAAGGCCAAGCUGUCUGAAGUCUCAAUAACACAACUGGCUCCAGGCUGCUUUCUCAGUCACUGGGAUUUACACGCAGUCCUUCGUACCUUGUCUUCUAGAACCACACAUUCUUUUCUGCCUUCAUAUGGACAAGGCAUAUUUUCUCACUCUCUCUUACUAGAGACCAGUAGGAACACAUAUAUUGGACAGCCAUGCUUAUUGUCUAAACUGCUGGCGUCCAUGUACAGCAUUAGUGGGUACAGCAUCAUAUCUCAGCAUCUCUUACUGUAAGGGUUGGAGCAGAACUCCCACAUCUCAUCCUCCGUGACGAUGUAGAUUAGACCCAUCAGAUUAAAUAAAGAAUUGAAAAACUCUCCUGGGGGUGAGGUGGUAAGGAAAUCAUGUUGCCGUCCCAUAAAUGCACUGCUAUGAGCAAGCUUCAGAAGCCUGGGGGGAUGCAGCCUGCAGCAGAGACCACAGGUCUGUGGUGGAGAAUGAUUCAGUUCAAAACUGGAAAGGGAGAAGGAUGGUUGAUAUUGUUCCAGUAGAUCUCACUGCCUCUAAAAAGAGUUUCUUCCAGAUCAGUGAAUGGUUCUUGUAAAGCAGCUCCUGGACUGGACUACUGAGACCAACCAUGAGCCCUCCAGACUGGUGCUUUCCAACCAACAGACAAAAGUAUCCACUCUACGAAUGAUACACAGAUAUCUACACAGAAUACCAGGAUGGAUACAGAGUUUCUUCAGUUCCAUGAAUGAGGGAUUCAGCAGGUGAGAUGGCAGCAGAUAAAGGUGAUUGUUGCCAACUCCCCACACCUGAGCUCCUUCCUAGGACCUACAUGAUUGAAGGAAAGAACAAACCUCUCACAACUUGUCCUCAGAUUUUUAUGUAGUUGGGUUUUUCCAGAUCUUGGUCCACAGAAGCAAAGACAUCAGGUUUUCCAAUUCCAUUUGACACGGGACCAGCACCUUCAACCGAAUGUUCCUUCCUGGAAAGCUGCAGCCUGUCGGCGUGGCUCAGUGGUUUGUGAACUGCAAGUGUCCGUCUGGGAAGGUGGUCGUGUUAAUCCAGCCCACCUGCCCCUAUUGCAGAAAGACCCAAGAAAUCCUCAGUCAACUGCCUUUCAAACCUGGUCUUCUGGAGUCUGUGAACAUCACAGCCACUAACAACACCAAUGAGAUUCAAGAUUAAUUACAACAGCUCACUGGAUGGAGAACAGUUCCUCAGGUCUUCAUAGGUAAAGAAAUACUGAAAGACCCCCUCCCAGAAAGGGAAUUGUACAAGCCCAAGGCCCUGAACUAUAGAAGUAAAAAGUAAGUUUUUAGAUAUGUGGGACAAGCUGACCCAUCAUUUAGACGAAACAGACCAUAAAAGAAAACAAAAUGCAGAAACCAGACUAAAUUAUGGGCACUGCUUCAUGGGCCACCUGGCAGAAAAAAGAAAAAGUCCCUGACUCCCCGGAAGCCCUGACCACCAUGUACUUUUUGCUAACUCACUGUUAUGAUUAUAGCCAAAAUAGGUAACAUACACGUAUGCCUCAUUUACUCCACCAAUCACAUCCCUGUAACCAUGCAUCUGCUUCUGUAAGCUUGCUUCUGCUCCCCAAAAUACUAUAAAAAGCCCACCCUGGCUCUGCUAGGCGCGCCAGUCUUCCGAAUUGACUGGGACGCCCACAGAUACCUGUGUAUCCUGAUCAAUAAAAAUCCUCUUGCAGAUUGCAGCCUGUGGACUCGGUCUGGUCAUUGGGCUUGAGGAUCUCCCUCCUGAGGGAAGAUUCUCUCUGAGAGUCUUACAUAUGGGGGCUCGUCCGGGAUCGGAGAUCCUCUGCCUAGAGACCACCGACCACCCACCGGGAGGCUAAAAGACCUACAGGUGAUACAGAAAGAAAUCUGCUCACAGCUGACAGCAGCCUAUGCCCCGGAGACCCCUGAGACAUGUCAUCAGCUCCAGGUUAGAGACUACAGCUACACUGAGCCCAGACACUCGAGCCUCGAUGGAAAGGACCGUACCUGGUGCUGCUGACCACCCUGACAGCCGUCAAUUCUCAGCCCUCACCAGCAGCGUACUAGCUGUUGGGGCUGAGAGCUGGGACCUAGAGGGACACUCAGAUCUUCAAAAAGCUCCCUAGACUUAAGUGACUGGGAGGUUGCUAACAAGAAUUUCAUGUUUGCCUGUUUGCCCUGGGUUCCCUCGGAAUAGGUGUAAGGAUAGGCUUGAUUUUUAUUACAAAUGAUGUAACAUUACAUAUGUUAGUACUCCUAACACUUCUUGGGACUGUGCCUCAGGGAUCACAACCUAUAUAAGUUUAGAAGUUCUAAAAGACCUUGGUGUAUAGGUUCAGAUAGUGUCCAGAUUAGAAUCCUGAUGCUAAAGACUUAAUAAGACACAAAAGAGAGUUGAGAAUUAUUUAAGGCUAUCCAGGUGCUACAAGGGCAGCACAAGGACAUCUGCUGUUGCCUUACAAUGCAAGGCUUAUAGAGAAUUCAGAACUGCCAUUGACUCAGAUAUAAAAAGAGUAAAAAAGACUUUUUAGCUGACCUCCAAGAAUACCUAACCUCCCUCUCAGAGGUAGUCCUUCAAAAUAGGAAAAGAUUAGACCUGAUAUUCCUUAAAGAAAGAGUCUGUGUGCUACACUAAAAGAAGAAUGUUGUUUCUAUGCAGAUCAGACAGGAAUAAUAAGAGAUACAGACUUUCAGUCAUUCAAACUUUUGUGCUGAGAAAACAGUAUCAGAUGGUGAAAAAAAAAAAACCAGAGGUACCUAAAACAAGUUGAGUGGAAGAUUCCACUCAAGGACAAAAAAAGAAAAUGGGGGAAUGAAAGACCCCCUCCCAGAAAGGGAAUUGUACAAGCCCAAGGCCCUCAACUAUAGAAGUAAAAAGUAAGUUUUUAGAUAUGUGGGACAAGCUGACCCAUCAUUUAGAUGAAACAGACCAUAAAAGAAAACAAAAUGCAGAAACCAGACUAAAUUAUGGGCACUGCUCCAUGGGCCACCUGGCAGAAAAAAGAAAAAGUCCCUGACCCCCCGGAAGCCCUGACCACCAUGUACUUUUUGCUAACUCACUGUUAUGAUUAUAGCCAAAAUAGGUAACAUACACGUAUGCCUCAUUUACUCCACCAAUCACAUCCCUGUAACCAUGCAUCUGCUUCUGUAAGCCUGCUUCUGCUCCCCAAAAUACUAUAAAAAGCCCACCCUGGCUCUGCUAGGCGCGCCAGUCUUCCGAAUUGACUGGGACGCCCACAGAUACCUGUGUAUCCUGAUCAAUAAAAAUCCUCUUGCAGAUUGCA